ACCGGCGAACGGGUGCGUAACGCGUAUAGAAUCUACCUCUUACUAAGGGAUAGCCCAGAGAAAUUUGGAUUAAUAUCUUAUAGUAUACAGACCUGGCAUCAGGAUUGUAUUAAAGGUUACGGUAAGAGAUGACUAUGCGUCCUAUUAGCUAGAUGGUGUGGUAACGGCACACCAUGGCUACGAUAGGUAGGGGCCCUGAGAGGGGGAUCCCCCACACUGGUACUGAGACACGGACCAGACUCCUACGGGAGGCAGCAGUGAGGAAUAUUGGACAAUGGAGGCAACUCUGAUCCAGCCAUGCCGCGUGCAGGAAGACUGCCCUAUGGGUUGUAAACUGCUUUUAUACAGGAAGAAACACUCUCACGUGUGAGAGCUUGACGGUACUGUAAGAAUAAGGAUCGGCUAACUCCGUGCCAGCAGCCGCGGUAAUACGGAGGAUCCAAGCGUUAUCCGGAAUCAUUGGGUUUAAAGGGUCCGUAGGUGGAUGAUUAAGUCAGAGGUGAAAUCCUGCAGCUCAACUGUAGAAUUGCCUUUGAUACUGGUUGUCUUGAGUUGUUAUGAAGUAGUUAGAAUAUGUAGUGUAGCGGUGAAAUGCAUAGAUAUUACAUAGAAUACCAAUUGCGAAGGCAGAUUACUAAUAAUAUACUGACACUGAUGGACGAAAGCGUGGGGAGCGAACAGGAUUAGAUACCCUGGUAGUCCACGCCGUAAACGAUGGUCACUAGCUGUUCGGACUUCGGUUUGAGUGGCUAAGCGAAAGUGAUAAGUGACCCACCUGGGGAGUACGUUCGCAAGAAUGAAACUCAAAGGAAUUGACGGGGGCCCGCACAAGCGGUGGAGCAUGUGGUUUAAUUCGAUGAUACGCGAGGAACCUUACCAGGGCUUAAAUGUAGAUUGAUAGGUUUAGAAAUAGACUUUUCUUCGGACAAUUUACAGGUGCUGCAGGGUUGUCGUCAGCUCGUGCCGUGAGGUGUCAGGUUAAGUCCCAUAACGAGCGCACCCCCGUUGUUAUUUGCCAGCGAGUCAUGUCGGGAAUCUAUAAGAAUGCCGUGCAACUGUGAGGAAAGGGGGGGAGAAAUCAAAUAUUCCGGGCCUUCUUCCGGGGUACACC
rnacentral:rRNA from 1 species